ACAGAGGUCCCAAGCGUUGUUCGGAUUCACUGGGCGUAAAGGGUGCGUAGGUGGUGAGGUAAGUCGGAUGUGAAAUCUCCGGGCUCAACCCGGAAAUGGCAUUGGAAACUACCUUGCUAGAGGAUUUGAGGGGGGAUUGGAAUACUUGGUGUAGCAGUGAAAUGCGUAGAUAUCAAGUGGAACACCAGUGGCGAAGGCGGCGACCUGGACGGACACUGACGCUGAGACGCGAAAGCGUGGGGAGCAAACAGGA
rnacentral:rRNA from 1 species